GUCUGUUUUUGUUCAUGUAACAGGUAUUUUCAUAGGAUUAAAAAAAGUCUUGGGCAUUAGUGAACUAAAAAUUAAAUACAUAUUAAGAAAUACCAAUAGAAAUAAUGUGAUAUUUAUAUUAAGCUAAAACUUUACUAAAUCUUACAGUAUUAAUCUGCUUCUGUUCUGUCAUGUCUUGGACAGUUUUGAAAGCUCAUUGUUAAAACAGGACUACAAAGUGUAACAAGAAUUUGAGGGAAUGUCUGACGAUAGCGUAUGUUCUCAACUCCUGUGGAAAUGUUCUGACACUGCUGCUCAACAGUAAUGCUUUGAAAUAUCCUCAUGUGUAUGGGGUUAGUGAGAGCAAUGCUGCUAUUAGAUGGCACUUGCUGCACAGAAUAUGGCUGUGGAUGUGAAAAUAUUCCUGCUUUCAUUCAGUGCUACAGUGGAGUUCCUGUUUUUUUUGUUUUCUUACACUUUUUUAAAGAAGUGUGAAGGAAACUAACUGUAUUAACAAAUUGUACCCCAUCUCCCCUAAGAGCAGUACUUCUUCUCUGUAGUAAUAAUACUGAUAUUACUAGCUCAAUUCAUAUUUUAACACUGUAUGGAAUAAAAUGCAUGAGAGGUAACCAACUUUUGGACCUUCCAAAAGAAAGUAAAGAUAAAAACUUAAUUUGAGGAAAUUUCAGGGGAUUUCAGCUAUUCAAGUGGGAGCGUUUUGUCCUAAACUUUCCUACUUCAUCUUUUAAAAUGCUGCAGUAAGAUUUCUUUGUGAGAUAUUUGGCUAAUGAUGAGUCAGUCUGGGCGACCAAGUUCAAAGCAGUGAAAUUGAUGAUUUUUCACAGAAGGAAAUUAAUUUUUGAUUUCUCUUCUGGUACAGGUUAUGUGAGUACUUCUUGUUUGAAAGCAGAGCAAGUUGAAGUGGCCCUAGGACACUGUUAAGUGCCCUUGGGUCUCACACUGCAUUGUGCCCACACACUUGGGUGUCUGACAGCCUGAAUCAGGGAGCUGAACUAUCAUGUGACAUUAUGGCAUGCGUGGAGCUGCACAGAUGGCUGUGCCAGCACAGUGCAGCAGGUGGUCUGAGAACAGGAACUUCCUCAUGGGAUCUGUGCACUGUUGUCAAAUACAAGCCCACACUGAAAUUAGCCAAUAUAUAUUUACAGUUUUACUCUUUACCCCUUAUCUGACCAUGCUGUGUUUUUCUUAACUAAUGCAGACCAGUUAUUUGUUGAUGUGAAGUCAAGGUCAUUAGUAGCAGAGUACCUCUUGAAAUAAUGAAAUACAGCUGUGCCUUGUUUUACCACAAAUACUGUUUCUAUGUUUAUAAGUCAAGUCUCUUAUUAACUAUGCCUGAAAUAUGUUCAGUAUAACCAUCUUUUAAAGUAAACCAAAACCCGCUCUUCCUAAAACGUGCUAUGCCUUGUCCUCAUGAUUCUCCAUUCUAACUGUAUCUCCCUUAGUGUUUUAGAUUCUAAAACCUAAAGAUAAAAGAUUUUUUUUUUUUUAAUUAAUAUCACAGCCAGUUGUUCCAGUUUACAGAAGCUUGGUCAAAAGUAUGAAACCUGGUGCUACAGCAGAACAGAAUCAUCAAUGAGUUCAAUUCCUAAUUUUCAUUAUAUGAUAUUGGGCUUAUCAAAAACAGGUAUUAAACUAAACUGAGCUUUCCUUUUGUAGAUGAACCCUGUGCAAGACUGAGAUCACACAGUUCAGAGAAAUAUUGUCAUCCUCAUGGUUAUGUUUCUGCUUAAAUGUUCACCAACCUGUGCAGGUUCCAUCCGGUCCUGCAUUUUCAGUACCUUCCCAUCUAAGAAGAGGAGAACAUCCCUUGCAAAGCCUGUCUGAUUUUAGGAAAACAAGAAAGUGUGUGCCUUUAAUCUGUUCAGAAUAAUUGACACCCAGAACACUGGGAACCAGUUGGGAUCUUUCACAAGAGGAGUAAAAAGGGAAGGAAAAAGCUGGGCAGUUGACCACUCAGAUCUUCAGCCUGUGCCAAGAUGCAAGUUGUAAAAUACAGGAAUGUUCUGGAGCAACUCCUGGAGGUGAUGCAGAAAGCUGCAGCGUUGGCUGAGAACAUGUUCUAAUGCUGUUCUCACACAGCCAUGAUGAUACUUGAGUUUAUAGAGCCAUGGACUGAAGACAACUGAGAAUGCAGUAUAUUGUGAACUGGCUGCUGCUGGGCUCACCAGGAUUUUCUCACCCAGCAGAACACCUCAGGCAGGGAGUGCUUGAGAUUCAAUGUUGCUGUUGGUCUUGGCACUUAAAAAAUGAUGUAUUUUGAGUAAUGUGAUUGAAAGCUUUUUUUCCCAGAAAGCUGAUUGAUGCUUCAAAACAUAAUGUCCAUGAAAUACUACAGUGCUGUUUUCAAGGACUUGCCAAAGCAUUUUGAAAUAUCCUUGAAGCUAUAAUUCAUAUAUGAUUGUGCCAAAUGAAUAAUGGAAAUGUCAUUAUUAAAAAGAAACACUAAACAGGUGGCCAUAAUUUCUGUCAUGUUUAAUUCAGUGAUAACUAUAUUGGCUGGUCAUUGUGGGAACUAAUAUUCCUAUCUGUUGUGUAAAUGACUGGAUGGAGAUUUAGGAACCUAAAAUGAAAUUUCUAUUUUACAACGUGUUGGCAGUCGUCUCGGAUGUCAGAAUUCUGUAGCUAGGCCGGGCUAGUUGAGGUCUGCAUGGACUUAGAGCCAGAGGUAAAGCUACAUUAAAUCUGCUAUGGAGAUUGACCUGAAAGAAAUCAAUAAUGGAAAUCAGUCUGGCUAAGUCACAGCAGGUUAUGUCUCUGAGCUAUGGGAAGAAACCAUAGGGGAAACAAAAAGGAUUUUUUAUUUGUCUGAAGGUAAUGACAUCUUCAUGUGUAAUAAUCAAAGUAGAGCUUUGCAGUUACUAUUGGUACUUGCCUCAGAAAUAGCAGUUACAUCAGUUGCUGCCAGCUUCUGAUGCUUUUCUUCUGCUCCUGUUCCCCCCCCCCACACUUUGUUUUUAGUGAAAGUGUGCUGGUUAAAAUUUAAUCCUUUGCUUGUGAUUUCCUGAAGCCUGUUGUACCAUAUUAGUUAUAGGCAUUUUAUGUUUAAAGAGAUUCUGCACCGGUAGGUCUUUGGGAACCUGGGUUUGUUAAUUUUGUGUGUCAUUUUUUGAAUGGCUGGAAUAAAAGUACCCUGUGACUGGUUUUGAGAUAUGGAGUCAUCCACUGCUACUCUACCUUGUUACCAGAACUGCCCGUCAGGGUUGUCUUGUGUUGGAAAUGGAUCCUCUAGUCAGAAUGAAAUCAUUUUCACAACAGAAAGUGGCUGCACGUGGAGUCCUCCAGUAAUAUUGUGUUGUGUUACUGAUUACAUUAAUAAACCAUUUGGAAUGGGGGAGGAACAGUGUGGUAAUAAAUCUUGCUGCGGCUACUGAAUUAUUAGAAUUACAUGAAAAAAAUCUGUUAUCAAUUGCAGUGGAAUAAAAUGUCAAAUGGAAAGGAAUGCCUUUGGAACAAAGGGGUGGGAAACAACCAUUGUUAUGCAUUUAGCUUUUUACUUUAAAAUGGUUAUUGCUACUUGGGAAAGAGAUUGUGAAGCUACUGAGGAUAGCAAGAGGAUUAGGUGGAGGCUCAGCGUUGUCUGAAAGUGUAAUGUUUAUUAACUGUGAAGAGAAAAAAUCAGGGACUGUAUUUUGUGUAAACUCCUGCUCUGUUGGCAUCAUAAAGGCUCUGUUCUGGUCCUUCCUU